rnacentral:rRNA from 1 species
UACGAAGGGUGCAAGCGUUAAUCGGAAUUACUGGGCGUAAAGGGUGCGUAGGCGGUUCGUUAAGUCUGUCGUGAAAUCCCCGGGCUCAACCUGGGAAUGGCGAUGGAUACUGGCGAGCUAGAGUGUGUCAGAGGAUGGUGGAAUUCCCGGUGUAGCGGUGAAAUGCGUAGAGAUCGGGAGGAACAUCAGUGGCGAAGGCGACACGCUGGGCCGUACCUGACACUGAUGCGCGACAGCAUGGGGAGCAAACAGG